rnacentral:rRNA from 1 species
AACGAACGCUGGCGGCAUGCCUAACACAUGCAAGUCGAACGAGACCUUCGGGUCUAGUGGCGCACGGGUGCGUAACGCGUGGGAACCUGCCCUUAGGUUCGGAAUAACUCCCCGAAAGGGGUGCCAAUACCGGAUAAUGUCUUCGGACCAAAGAUUUAUCGCCUUUGGAUGGGCCCGCGUUGGAUUAGCUAGUUGGUAGGGUAAAAGCCUACCAAGGCGACGAUCCAUAGCUGGUCUGAGAGGAUGAUCAGCCACACUGGGACUGAGACACGGCCCAGACUCCUACGGGAGGCAGCAGUGGGGAAUAUUGGACAAUGGGCGAAAGCCUGAUCCAGCAAUGCCGCGUGAGUGAUGAAGGCCUUAGGGUUGUAAAGCUCUUUUACCCGGGAUGAUAAUGACAGUAUCGGGAGAAUAAGCUCCGGCUAACUCCGUG